GAUGAACGCUGGCGGCGUGCCUAAUACAUGCAAGUCGAGCGAACAGACGAGGAGCUUGCUCCUCUGACGUUAGCGGCGGACGGGUGAGUAACACGUGGAUAACCUACCUAUAAGACUGGGAUAACUUCGGGAAACCGGAGCUAAUACCGGAUAAUAUAUUGAACCGCAUGGUUCAAUAGUGAAAGACGGUUUUGCUGUCACUUCUAGAUGGUUCCGCGCCGCAUUAGCUAGUUGGUAAGGUAACGGCUUACCAAGGCAACGAUGCGUAGCCGACCUGAGAGGGGGAUAGGCGACACUGGAACUGAGACACGGACCAGACUACUAAGGGAGGCAGCAGUAGGGAAUCUGCCGCAAUGGGCGAGAGCCUGACGGAGCAACGCGGCGUGAGUGAUGAAGGUCUUCGGAUCGUAAAACUCUGUUAUGAGGGAAGAACAAAUGUGUAAGUAAAUAUGCACGUAUUGACGGUACCUAAUCAGAAAGCAACGGCUAACUACGUG
rnacentral:rRNA from 1 species